CCUCCACACAUUGCACCUUUUUCUAUUCUCACCAGAGGUAAAUGUUUUUGCAUAAUAACACAUCUCAUCGUCUUCCUUCUCUCACUUUCAGUGGUAAAUUAAAUCUCCUCUGUUUUAUUUACUUCUUCCUUCAAGUUCACAAGUUUCCUUCCAUGGGCCCAUGCUUCACUGGGUCUGGGGGUGUGAUUUUCUUAAAUGGUUGGAUCAACAUGAUGAAUUGUUCUUGAAGAAUUAUAGUUUGAUACUUUGAAAGACCAAAAAAUGGAACAGUUAGUUAGAUAGGAUAUGUAUGUCUAAGAUAGAUAUUGAAUUGUAUUGCACAUCCUCUUUAGUGUGAUGUAAUUGUCAUUCGUUUAUCUUAAGAAUUAAUUUAUACUUAUUUGUAAAUAACA